ensembl:snRNA U6 U6 spliceosomal RNA
AUGCUCCACUCAGCAGCACAUAUGUUAAAAUUGAAACGGUACAGAGCACAGCAGCAUGACCCCUGCAUGAGGAUGACCUGAAAAUGUGUGAAGGAAUCCGAAUUUUU